rnacentral:tRNA from 1 species
UGGGGCGUAGCCAAGUGGUAAGGCAGCGGUUUUUGGUUCCGCCAUUCCGUAGGUUCGAUCCCUGCCGCCCCAGCCA